rnacentral:lncRNA from 1 species
AUCUGUCUAGGACCAGUGCCCCUGGGAGCACAUGCCUGGCCGUCUGCUGGGAGCCGCUGGGCCAGCCCUGGGUAAUUUCUGUGGGACAUGCAGACCACGGCGGGCGCACCCUGUAGGUAGUCAGUAAUGGCUCACGGAUGACGGGUGUGAGCUGGAGCAGCAGUGGGCAGGGGCAGCUCACCUCUUUGCAGGAGGCGGGUGGGGCGGCCGCUCCGGGUGGCUGAAACCGAUGGGGCAGGGCUGUCUUGACCACAGCUCGGGCCCAGGCUGCUCAUCAUCACUCCCUUUGCCCACCUGGAUGGGGCUGCUCAUGCAUGGCCACUACGAACUGCACUCUGCAUGUGUGUAUGUGUGUGUAUGUGUGUAUGUGCAUGUGUGUAUGUGUGUAUGUGCAUGCGUGUGCGUGUAUGUGUGUAUGCGUGUGUGUGUGUGUGUGUGUGUGUGUGUGUGGUGGCCUGCGCUCUGUACACACAACCGCCCAGCAGAGAGAAAGAAGAGCACGGGAUGGGAGAAUCUCCUUUCUUUCCUCUGACGCUGUCAAGCCUUGUGGGUAAAUCUGGAAGACGUGGUUGGUGGACAGUUAAGAUUCCAUUAAAAAUGGGAAAGAGCCCCUGCAUGUUGCCUUUAGGCCGUGAUGCUCACAGCUGGAUGAGUGUCUCGCCUGGCUGGUGCUUGCUUCCUUUGAACUCCUUUGCGAAGCAGGCUGGUGGUCUCCCGUGUGGGGAUCAGACAUGGCAUUGGGUCCUGGCUGCACCCCACAGCUGGACCCCGAGCUCUUGUGAGUCUGGGCAGCGUCACCCUUCUGUUCUCCUGGAGUGGAAACGGGAGAUGGGUGGAUAUGUUGCAGAAAAGCAGGAUGACGGCAAGCCCCGAGGGCCCCAGCCUGGGUUUCCUGCACAGGCAAAGCUACUUGUGGGGGCUUGAGUGAAGAAGCCACAGUAUAUUACAACUCAGGAAAAAAUCCACAUUGUCUGUCCUGAGCAGCCUCAUGGGAGGUGAAUUAGAGAAAACAAAAGAGAGCAAGAGAGAAGACAGUGGGUGAAGUCCUGGUUCCAGACUCCCCUUUUUGCCGGGAUAUGAUGGAUCUGUCAGCUGGUGCCUAGAGUCCUAGAGAGCUAGAGAUGGAGGGAAAUUCAGAUCAUCUAAACCCUUCAGCCCUUCACUGGACAGAAGAGGAAACUGAGGCUCCAUCUGCAUGACGUUCCCAGAGUCACGGCACAAAUUCAUGGAAGAAGCAGCAGGAAACUCAGUUCUCCAGUCUGGGUCCAAUGUGUGUUUUAGAAAUAUCUCCACAGGGUUAAUGACUCAAUUUUUCAUGCAUGAUUGCUAGUAAUGACAAUCAUGUUAUGUUUGUUUCUGUAGCUUUGGAAAUCACUCCUUCCACUUGAGUUUCAGGUCCCAACUGUCCACACCUGCAGGAGUGAGGUUUUGCUGAGACUGAUAAGGCACUCACAUUUUGUGGGAGUUGAAUUGUCUCUGUAGCCUAGAAUCUAGAUUUUUUUCCCUCCUCUGCUCUCAGUGAACGGAGAAUUCCAUCUCGGUACAAUCUGUGAACCAUUCUGCAGUAAGAUUGUCAUCGUCUCAUUCAUACUACCUGGUCGGUAACACAAAGGGCUGUAAUUGAUGUGGUUCAGAGACUCACAUCCAAGCAAUAAAAAUGAAUCCCUUAUGGUGGUCUGCAGCAACGCAAAU